GCUAAAAAUUUAACCCAAGCUUAAUUUAUAAAUACCUACUACCAUUUUUGUAAAACUAAAACAUUUUUAAGGUUGAGUAAAGGCGAUUGAAAUAUCUCUUGGAGUAAUAAUUUUAGUACCGCAAGGGAAUAAUGAAAUAAAAAUGAAAUAACUUUUAAGCAUAAAAUAGUAGAGACAUACCCUCGUACCUUUUGCAUCAUGGUUUAACUAGUUUAAUCAAGCAAAAUGAAUUUUAGUUUGCCAUCCCGAAAUUAAACGAGCUACUUCAGGGCAGCUUUCUGAGCCAACCCGUCUCUGUCGCAAAAGAGUGGGAUGACCCUUAAGUAGGGGUGAUAGACCUAACGAGUUUAAUGAUAGCUGGUUACUUAAGAAACGGAUAUAAGUCCAACCUAAAAUUUUCUUAUAAUAUUAAAUAAAACACUAAAUUUUAGAUUCACUCAAAUAAGGUACAGCCUAUUUGAAACAGGAUACAACCUAUAUAAAUGGGUAAUUUUAAAUUACUUUAUCAUAAAGUGGGCCUAAAAGCAGCCAUCUUUUAAAAAGCGUCAAAGCUUAAUUAUAAAUAAAUUAAAUUCCAUUAACUCUUAAAAUCCCUUAAUCUUUAUUAAGUAAUUCUAUAAAUUUAUAGAAGAUAUUAUGUUAAAACUAGUAACAAGAAUUAAAUUUUCUCUUAAAUAUAAGUGUAUAUCAGUAUGAACCCCUCACUGAUUAUUAACAUUCAUGAGUUUAAAGUAACAACUAAUCAAGAAAAAUUUACUUUAUAUUAUGUUAACCUAACACAAGAAUAUUUCAAGACGAUUAAAAGAAAAAGAAGGAACUCGGCAAACAUUAACCUCGCCUGUUUACCAAAAACAUCGCCUCCUGAAUAACCUAUAGGAGGUCCAGCCUGCCCAGUGACUCUGUUCAACGGCCGCGGUAUCCUAACCGUGCGAAGGUAGCGUAAUCACUUGUUCUUUAAAUGAGGACUAGUAUGAAUGGCACCACGAAGGUUACACUGUCUCCUUUUUCUAAUCAGUGAAACUAAUCUCCCCGUGAAGAAGCGGGGGUAAAUAUAUAAGACGAGAAGACCCUAUGGAGCUUUAAACUCUCAACAACUAUCUUUUUUCUUACUUAACUCGAAAGAAAAUAAUAUUUAUCUAGAUAAUAUGUUUGCUAGUUUUCGGUUGGGGUGACCGCGGAGUAUAAUCUACCCUCCACGAUGAAUAAUUCAUUUUUAAGCAAAGAAUUACAUUUCAAAGCAUCAAAAAAUUGACUAUAUUGACCCAAUAUUUUGAUCAACGAACCAAGUUACCCUAGGGAUAACAGCGCAAUCCAUCUAAAGAGUCCAUAUCGACAGAUGGGUUUACGACCUCGAUGUUGGAUCAGGGUAUCCCAGUGGUGCAGCUGUUACUAAAGGUUCGUUUGUUCAACGAUUAAAACCCU
rnacentral:rRNA from 1 species